CAGCCUAGCUCCAGAGCUCCAGACUGCGAUCCAGGGCACUUGGAAUAAGGCUAAACUGCCUUCUAAAGCAUAAGAAACUGCUUCUGAUUCAGGGAUACCUGGAUAUAUCUCUGUUGCAAAGAAUUUUCAUCAAAGGAAAAGUGAAGAUCCCAGGUUUGUACAAGAAUGAGUAAAAAUGGGAAUAAAUUGUGCAUGUCCAGACUCAGGGGCAUUUGAAAGUCUGGCUAUAAGAAAAUAGAUUUAAUCAUCAUAACUCUUCCAGAGGGGAACACUAAACACAGAAAUAAGGACAGGAGGUUUCUCAGGACAGCCCUCUGUGUCCAUUCCCUCCAAAUCAAGGGCAGCACCAUGCACACAACUGCAUAUAGCAAAUCUUUCCAUCACUCCAAAGAGAGCCAAACUCCACCUUGGCUGUGGGUGAGAUAAACCAGUUAUGGCUCUUUCAGCUCCACACCAGCAGUAUUUCACAUUGUGCAAGGACAAAGACCUCCCAAAUGCAUGAAGCACAAAGAGCUGUGGAAACAAGCUCUUGAUGUCUGCAUUGUGGCUUUUGGAAAUGUUGCCAGGGCUGGGACCCUCCUGGAUGUUCCUCUCAUUACUGUCCCCAAACAGAAUGCAAACCUGCAGGAUAAGGAUGCUGUGCUGUGGUCAGGAACGGCAAAAGGACAUGUUAAGAAACAACUGUGACUGGAAACAUUUUCCAAAGCAUGUUGCAAGUGGAGCCCUGCACAAACACUGCUGGAUCAUCACCACCAUUCACACCUGACCUGUCAGCGCCCAAACCCCCUCAGGCGUCUGUAAAACUCAACUGCCCAGGAUGAGCAGCUACUCCUCACAGAAUCACAGAAUCACUAAAAUUGGAAAUCCCUCCCAGAACACCGAAUCCAAGCUGUGCCCUGUCCCCAGCCAGAGCACUCAAUACCACCCCCAGGAAUUCCUGGGACACCUCCAGGGAUGGGCACUGCAACCCUCCCUGGGCAGUUCCAGUGCCUGAGCACCCUUCCACUGAAAAAACUCUUCCCAAAACAUGCAGCCCUGAGCUCUUCAAGCUCUUGAGGACCAAUAGACUUUACAUUAUGGAAAUAAGGGAAGGGGAUUUUUGCUACUUCAUCAAGCAGAUCACGGAUGGAUUCACGGAAAGAACAUGAGCAAUAAAAUGUC